AUACCAUGUACAGGAACAGGAGCUGGCACCUGCAAACAAGAAGCAUGGACUCUUGUGAUCCUUUUCAUCUUCUGAUCUUCAUGACCUUUCUCACAGGAAAUUUUCAUUUUGUGUGAUUUUAACUCAAAGCACGGUGCUCAAAUGGUAUAUAAAGUCACUCAUUGUAGCCACAGGUCCGCACAAGGUUUCAUCUAUGAAUGUCAGAAGAUUGAAUAUGUAGAACCUGUGGUAAUAGUAUUCCUAUGCUUUCGAAGAACCUUUGACACAAGAGUGCUCCGUUACUAUGGUGUAUAUUUUCACUGCCAGAUCGUUACUUGAAAUAAUCACUCACUAUAUUUAUCGAACUGCUGUAAAUGCAAGUGUUGUUUUUUUCAGUUUCAGCUAUAUGUAUAUAACUUUCUCUUCCCCCCCCCCCUCUCUCUCUCUCUCUGUGUAAGUGUGUUCACGGCGGAUUUUUA